UGCCGCGGAGCGGCUGGGCCCGUGAGCCAUGGCCGCUGAGCUUGCGCGUCCGGAGCCUGUUCUCCUGCCUCUCCACAGGAGAGGCCACAACAGUGAGAGGCCCGCGUACCGCAAAAAAAAAAAAAAAAAAAAAAAAGAAUCCACCUGCCAAUGCAGGGGACAUGGGUUCGAGCCCUGGUCCAGGAAGAUCCCACAUGCCACAGAGCAACUAAGCCCAUGCGCCACAACUACUGAGCCUGCACUCUAGAGCCCAGAAGCCACCGCAAUGAGAAGCCCGCGCACCGCUACGAAGAGUAGCCACCGCUCACUGCAACUAGAGAGAGCCCGUGUGCAGCAGUGAAGACCCAAUGCAGCCAAAAAUAAAUAAAUAAAUUUUUUUUUUUAA